rnacentral:lncRNA from 1 species
UACCAGGGGCCUUCCAUACUGAAUGGUUCAAGAUCGCCAAACAGUCAAAGAUCUGAUUUCCAAUGGUUGUCUUCAACCAUUGUGAAAUGUUUUUAUACCUAAUAAUGUUCCAUUGGUGAUUGAGACCGAGCAUUUGAUUGUAUUUCAUUUUGUCACACUUUUCUUGGCAUUGUUGUUUCUAGAUACACUGAAAGUGUCUAAAUUGCAUAUUAUCUAUGUGUCUUUUAUACCUAAUAAUGUUCCAUUGGUGAUUGAGACCCAGCAAUAUAUGUUUGCUGGGGGUCCCGUGGGUCUUUAUUCUGGUCAUGUACUUUCUUGUUAUAUGAAGUCUUAAAUUUUAAUUUUUC